GUAUUCUUUAAAAGAUUGUGUUAAUGGUUGCUGAUUAUCCUGAAAUGAACGACAGAACUUACAUGUAAAUUCAUGACAAGUACAGUAGUAAUAAUUCUAAAGUCUGUAAAAACUCGGCUGAGAGUACUAAUACUAGUACAAAGUUAACAGCU
rnacentral:lncRNA from 1 species